CGCGUCGUUCCACGGGUAGGGACAAAAGAGAGCAGUUCUUUUUUUCCCAACGCAACCUCCUCUCCUUCUUUUCCAUCCUGACCGGCGGCUAGGGUUCCGUCGGCGCCGCCACAGCCACAGCCACCGGCGCCAUCCUUGCUCGUCCAGCGCUGGCCACUGGAGAAGGUGGGCGCCGUCUCCGUCGCCAUCACCGUUGCCGCCUCCGACAUCGACCUCGACCUCGACCGUGUCUGCGGCAGCGGCAAGGACCUCCACCUGUAGGUCUCCUUCUCGCCAAGCGAGCGCUCGGGAUGAGCAGGUACUUCUCUUCUCCAGCCUUUUGGCAGUUGGGAUCCUCUCUCUUCUCGCCGUGCCAAGGGUUGUCAUCAUUGCCACCCCUGCCCGUCCCAAGAUCUCAAUCUCGAGCAGGGGACAUACGCGGCCACGGGCAGCCGCCGGGGACGCCUCUACAUCGUCGGCGGCAUAAUUAGGAGAGCAGCAUGCGGCGAUUCUGGUGGUCCUUCCUAGCUUCGAAAACUUCCAUAUCCAAGUUCGUUUAUGCUAGAAAGUGUUUACUGGAAUGCAUCUAUAGCAACGGGUAAUUGUCUGACCUUGUAGCAUCAAACAAUUUGCGCUACGAACUGUGGAUCAAUCUAAACAAUUAGAAAUGAGAACAAAAUUACUAACUGUAGCCCAUUUGUGUAUUUAUUCAUCAAGUUCAGUUUUGGAGAUUAUCACAUAUAUUAGGUUUCCAUUAAUCUAGGUACAGUUUGCUGGUGCCAUGCAUUUCCUGUUACAGCUAGUUAAUAAUAGUAUGUGAACUGGUUGAAAUCAUGGGACACUUGAGUCGUUUGUCUAACUAACACGGGUUAAAUGACUGGUGUGUAUCACAUGCCUGAUGGAGGAGACAGAAAAUGCAACUCUUAUGUUGCUAUCCAAUUUAGUGCAGAGCGAUAAUCCAUCGAUCUCAGAGUGACACUAGGCAUAGUGGGGUGAACUUUUUAUUAGAAGGAGAUUAGCUAAAUAUUAUUACCAAAGAUCCUGCUCAACAUCCAGUUUCAGAAGAAUGUACAACUGUAGGUAACCAUGACGAGUCAUCAAUCUUCUACUGCCUUCCGCUCAAUUUUGUUUGGACGGUGCAUGAUUCCUUUCAUCGUGUCUUCAAUAAACCAAAGAGUUACUAGAGUAGUUCUAAUCAGGUGUAAACUAAUUGUGCAUCGAGUCUUCAAUAAACCAGAGCAGUUUCUACAUACUACACAUAUCUAAUAGUAUUUGCUAAUACUUGAAUACCUUCUGACUGGAUCGAUUUGCAUGGAGACUCGAUUGAUUCUAAUCAUAUACGGUGCACUUGUUCCAUGGAGUAGCGACGGAGAGCAAGCGAGAGGGUUUAGUUCGGUUGAAUCUGGGCAUGCUUUUAGACUUACAAUCGAUCUUGAUUUCCUCCUGAUGCCUGUAUCUGCAUAUGUGCAGCACAUGCAAAGUUGGGCGACAAGAGCCAGCUCGAUGAGGGCUUCCAUUGAAAACAUAUAUCUAAUAUUAUAUUUAAUCUGGAUCUGAUAGGAAAAUGGUCAAAGGUUUGCUUUCUUUCAACAUAUUUUCUUUUACAACUAAAUAGUACAUAAUAUUAAAAGCCACAAGAUGCAAGGAACCAACAAAUGUGUAUAUCCCAACUCCUUUAUCUUGUAUGUUUUUUGGUUAAUCUGAUUUUCUAUUUAUUUGCGUUGAAUUUUGGUAAGGGCAACCCCUUUAUUUAUGUAUCUUCUUUAACAGAAGAACAAUAUUUGCGGUAUUAUCAGAGUGUGCUUUAUUAAUGUAUUUCAGGCAAUCUAUGAUGGCAUAUUUGUUGAUUGUUAUUUGCAACUUUCUUCUUGAGCAAGCUGAAACAAAAGUGCUGCUCCAUCUAUCGGUUGCAGCUACAGCAUGAGCCCCUCUUUAGAUAGAUGGAUGGAAUUAUAUACUACGAAGUCUUUCUGUGAGGAUGCUUUUGUCAGAAUGUUUCUUUUACAAGUGAGAUUAUCAUGUUUUGAUAGAUCACCUGCAAUGAUUUUAUUUGUCCAUGACAACUCCCACGUUUGGCAGCAAGCUAUUCAUCUAGCCAAUAUAUUUUUUGUCUCUGUCCAAUGAUAUAAAUUUUAAAUAAUUGAAGCUAGCAUUGUAAUGCUUCAGGUUUUUUCUUUCGCUGAAUUAGCUUUUAAACUGCUCACCGCUUGGUGCUCAUUCAUACUCUAUUACAAUUAAAGGUAAUUUACAAGAAAUUGUAAAACUUCUUUUUGCGUCGGGAAAUAUAUGAUAAGAAAAUUUGUGGUCAGCCUAGGUUUUAUCAAGAUAUUUAUUAUUUAAAAGAUUGCACUGUAUUUAUUUCCUACCAGGAAUUCCAUUCCAUUUCGUGCCCAUUGAAACUUGGCUAUUAACCACCAGAAGCCACCUUUGCUCCCUGUGAAAACAAAGUUGCACUGAUUUGACAAGGACGGGGGCAGUGGAAGGAGCGGGGCAUGCGUACAGUCAGGCUUCUCAAACGGACAACCAAGGUCCACCUUGUCAUGCGACAUGCCAAGAGCCUCAGGAUCUGCGGCAAGCACCUUGAGUUUGCAGCUCAUACUACAUAGGAGGACAUAGCAUGAAGAGGGCGAUGACCCUUGGGCGCUUGCCACGGGAUUAAGGGCUUGGACGUCGUCGUCGUCCUUGCCCAUCCGCGCAGGGCACCAUAGUGAACCCCGUCGGCUCCGUCGAUCUGCUAGACCUAGGUUUCAUGGCGGCGCAGAUGAAGGCCUUUUUCGACUCCAGGCCGGCCGCAGCCACAGCAUCGACGACAACCAGAUCAAACCCGACUCCUCUGACAUAUGGAUCGACCGUUGCUCCCUUGCUGACUACAACAAUGGGCUGAUCGGCAUCACACGCCAAAGCACCCACGUCACCAUCUCUAGGCCGUUCCCUUUUCUUCUGUCUGUCCUUGCUGCCACGGCGACUGGGUCAUCAGGCUCGAAUAGUCUUUCAACAUAUGAGUGAUUGAGUGAUACAGGAAGCUGGCUCAGAUUUUGUUUUCGAUCUGAUUGUGUGAGCUGAACAUGUGGUUAUCUUACAUCUUGGUAUGUUCAUAGGAUAUGUUCGUUGAUGUUUACCUUUUUCUGAAUAUCUUGAUUAUAAAACAUGUUUGAUGCAAUUUUGGAGCUGAAUGGUUGUUCAGUCUGAUUUAUU